UACGUAGGGUGCAAGCGUUAAUCGGAAUUACUGGGCGUAAAGCGUGCGCAGGCGGUUUUGUAAGUCUGACGUGAAAGCCCCGGGCUCAACCGGGGAAUUGCGUUGGAGACUGCAAGGCUAGAAUCUGGCAGAGGGGGGUAGAAUUCCACGUGUAGCAGUGAAAUGCGUAGAGAUGUGGAGGAACACCGAUGGCGAAGGCAGCCCCCUGGGUCAAGAUUGACGCUCAUGCACGAAAGCGUGGGGAGCAAACAGG
rnacentral:rRNA from 1 species